rnacentral:rRNA from 1 species
AAUGGGCGAAAGCCUGAUCCAGCCAUGCCGCGUGAGUGAAGAAGGCCUUCGGGUUGUAAAGCUCUUUCGGCGGGGAAGAAAUCGCAUUCACUAAUACUGGAUGUGGAUGACGGUACCCGAACAAGAAGCACCGGCUAACUACGUGCCAGCAGCCGCGGUAAUACGUAGGGUGCGAGCGUUAAUCGGAAUUACUGGGCGUAAAGCGUGCGCAGGCGGUUUUGUAAGUCAGAUGUGAAAUCCCCGGGCUCAACCUGGGAACUGCAUUUGAGACUGCAAGGCUAGAGUACGGCAGAGGGGGGUGGAAUUCCACGUGUAGCAGUGAAAUGCGUAGAGAUGUGGAGGAACACCGAUGGCGAAGGCAGCCCCCUGGGCCAAUACUGACGCUCAUGCACGAAAGCGUGGGGAGCAAA